CCUACGGGUGGCUGCAGUGAGGAAUAUUGGUCAAUGGGCGAGAGCCUGAACCAGCCAAGUCGCGUGAAGGAUGACGGCCCUACGGGUUGUAAACUUCUUUUGUCAGGGAGCAAACUGGUCCACGCGUGGGCUUCUCGAGAGUACCUGCAGAUAAAGCAUCGGCAAACCCCGUGCCAGCAGCCGCGGUAAUCCGGAGGAUGCGAGCGUUAUCGGGAUUUUUUGGGUUUAAGGGGUGCGUAGGCGGUCCGGAAAGUCAGCGGUAAAAGCCCGGGGCUAAACCCCGGCGAGCCGUUGAAACUGUCGGACUAGAGACGGCGAGAGGUACGCGGAAUGCGCGGUGUAGCGGUGAAAUGCAUAGAUAUCGCGCAGAACUCCGAUUGCGAAGGCAGCGUACCGGAGCCGGACUGACGCUGAGGCACGAAAGCGUGGGUAUCGAACAGGAUUAGAUACCCCAGUAGUC
rnacentral:rRNA from 1 species